UACGUAGGGGGCUAGCGUUGUCCGGAAUCAUUGGGCGUAAAGAGCGUGUAGGCGGCCCGGUAAGUCCGCUGUAAAAGUCAAAGGCUCAACCUUUGAAUGUCAGUGGAUACUGCCGGGCUAGAGUCCGGAAGAGGCGAGUGGAACUCCUGGUGUAGCGGUGGAAUGCGCAGAUAUCAGGAAGAACACCAACGGCGAAGGCAGCUCGCUGGGACGGUACUGACGCUGAGACGCGAAAACGUGGGGAGCAAACAGG
rnacentral:rRNA from 1 species